rnacentral:misc_RNA from 1 species
GAUGAAGAACGUAGUAAAAUGCGAUAAUUAAUGUGAAUUGCAGAAUUCAGUGAAUCAUCGAGUCUUUGAACGCACAUUGCGCCCCCUGGUAUUCCGGGGGGCAUGCCUGUCCGAGCGUCAUUGCUGCCCUCAAGCACGGCUUGUGUGUUGGGCUUCCGUCCCUGGCAACGGGGACGGGCCCAAAAGGCAGUGGCGGCACCAUGUCUGGUCCUCGAGCGUAUGGGGCUUUGUCACCCGCUCCCGUAGGUCCAGCUGGCAGCUAGCCUCGCAACCAAUCUUUUUAACCAGGUUGACCUCGGAUCAGGUAGGGAUACCCGCUGAACUUAAGCAUACAAUAAGCGGAGGA